rnacentral:rRNA from 1 species
CCCGUAGUUGACGACGUGUGUUCAGUGAAAUCGAGUAGGGCGGGACACGUGAUAUCCUGUCUGAAUAUGGGGGGACCAUCCUCCAAGGCUAAAUACUACUGACUGACCGAUAGUGAACCAGUACCGUGAGGGAAAGGCGAAAAGAACCCCUGUGAGGGGAGUGAAAUAGAACCUGAAACCGUGUACGUACAAGCAGUAGGAGCAGGCUUUGUCCUGUGACUGCGUACCUUUUGUAUAAUGGGUCAGCGACUUAUAUUCAGUGGCAAGGUUAACCAUCUAGGGGAGCCGUAGGGAAACCGAGUCUUAACUGGGCGUUCAGUCUCUGGAUAUAGACCCGAAACCAGGUGAUCUAGCCAUGGGCAGGUUGAAGGUUGAGUAACAUCAACUGGAGGACCGAACCGACUAAUGUUGAAAAAUUAGCGGAUGACUUGUGGCUAGGGGUGAAAGGCCAAUCAAACCUGGAGAUAGCUGGUU